ACUGCAUACAAACCCAAAGAGCAUUGUUUAUAAAUAAAAUGUUCUUGUCAUGUGUGCAGAUAUGAAAUGUACCUUGUCGCCUUUCAAGAGCUGAAGUGUUUUUGAAAGUGAAAUUGAAGGUCCUACAAUU
ensembl:snoRNA